AUCCUUUUGUAGUUCAUAAGUGUGAUGAUUGGGUCUUCAAACUAUUGUGUGACAUGUGCCGCCCUCAAACCUUGUUACAACCUUGGCACAUUACCUGUCUGAUG
ensembl:snoRNA